UAACGGCGAGUGAAGCGGCAAGAGCUCAAAUUUGAAAUCUGGCCCUCCGGGGUCCGAGUUGUAAUUUGCAGAGGAUGCUUCGGGUGCGGCCCCUGUCUAAGUGCCCUGGAACGGGCCGUCAGAGAGGGUGAGAAUCCCGUCUUGGGCAGGGUGCCCGUGCCCGUGUGAAGCUCCUUCGACGAGUCGAGUUGUUUGGGAAUGCAGCUCUAAAUGGGUGGUAAAUUUCAUCUAAAGCUAAAUACCGGCCGGAGACCGAUAGCGCACAAGUAGAGUGAUCGAAAGAUGAAAAGCACUUUGAAAAGAGAGUUAAACAGCACGUGAAAUUGUUGAAAGGGAAGCGCUUGCGACCAGACUCGGCCUCGGGGUUCAGCCAGCAUUCGUGCUGGUGUACUUCCCCGGGGCCGGGCCAGCGUCGGUUCGGGCGGCCGGUCAAAGGCCCCAGGAAUGUAUCGUCCUCCGGGAACGUCUUAUAGCCUGGGGUGCAAUGCGGCCAGCCUGGACCGAGGAACGCGCUUCGGCACGGACGCUGGCGUAAUGUCACAAACGACCCGUCUUGAAACACGGACCAAGGAGUCUAACAUCUACGCGAGUGUUCGGGUGUCCAAACCCGUACGCGCAGUGAAAGCGAACGGAGGUGGGAGCCCCUUUGGGGCGCACCAUCGACCGAUCCUGAAGUCUUCGGAUGGAUUUGAGUACGAGCGUAGCUGUGGGGACCCGAAAGAUGGUGAACUAUGCCUGAAUAGGGUGAAGCCAGAGGAAACUCUGGUGGAGGCUCGCAGCGGUUCUGACGUGCAAAUCGAUCGUCAAAUUCCGGGAGAGACACCGGGAUUGCCCCAGG
rnacentral:rRNA from 1 species